GAUCAUGGCUCAGGAUGAACGCUAGCUACAGGCUUAACACAUGCAAGUCGAACGGUAACAUAAAGAAGCUUGCUUCUUUGAUGACGAGUGGCGGACGGGUGAGUAAUGCUUGGGAAUCUAGCUUAUGGAGGGGGAUAACUACGGGAAACUGUAGCUAAUACCGCGUAAUAUCGAAAGAUUAAAGUGUGGGACCUUCGGGCCACAUGCCAUAAGAUGAGCCCAAGUGGGAUUAGGUAGUUGGUGAGG
rnacentral:rRNA from 1 species